UACCCUUUUCUCGGGGACUUGGACAAAGCUUGAAAGGAACGCAUCCCAGCUCUCAGCGUGGCUUCUUCCGCUCACCUCACUCGCAACGCCCCUAUCGAAUCCCAAAAUCCUCGUUAAAGAUCCCAUUUCCUUUCUCUCUCUUUCUCUCUCCAUUUCAAACGUCUCGCCCCUCCGCGGCUAUGGCGGGUGCUGCGGACGAUUUCGUCAAGGGUACAUUCUUCCCCCAUGGCGUCGCUGUCAUCACCCUCGUCCGCCCCAAAGCCCUCAACGCCAAGAACCUCGAGAUGGAUAUAAGAUACAAAGGCUAUCUUCACGGGUGGGAAAGUGAUCCAAGUGUCGAAUGCGUCCUUGUGGAAAGCAGCUCACCAUGCCUUUUCUGCAGCUUUUCCCCUUUUACCAAUUGCAAUAACCACUAACAGCCUCAUGCCCCUCCCCCGCCCUUUCCCAAUAACGAUGACUGCUCUCAAAAAGUUGUUUAGAGCUUUGGGGAUAUCUCUCACCUUUAUUAUCUACGAGCCAACAUAUGAGAUGAAACUUUAUAUGUUGUUGAGAUGCCCUUACAUUUGUUUUAUGGAUUGUGUGACAAUGGGAUUUGGGACUGGCCUGUCUGGACAUGGCCACUACCGAAUUGUCACUGAGGGAUUUACAGUUGGAAUGACUGGGAAAAGGAUUUCAUCUCCUGCUGAUGCACCAUAUGUGGGCCUGGGAACUCAUUAUGUGCCAUCUGGAAAAUUAGGAUCCCUGAAGGGGCAUUUCUAUCAAUCAACUUUAUGUUUCUGAUCAUUCAUUAUUUGCAUCUUGUGAAGAGAUUUUAGCGGAUCAUACCGUUUCAUAUUCCAUCAAAUUCCCAUUGAAGCCUGAGUUAUAUUGCAUAUUUUGCACAUGCAGCUUUGAUGACCCUCACAAAGAUGUCCAACCAUUACUGGCAGAAUACAAUAAGGAACCUGAAACAGAGGCUUAGCUGAAGUUGCUUGUAUCUCACAGUAUCAUGUUUUGGUGGACAUAAUUCAGUCUCCAAAAUCAUAAAAGAGGUGGAGAAGUAGCAUCAGCCAAGUAAUUACGCUGCAGGUAUAUCUUCCUGCUAGUCACUUCAGAGAAAGGAAUGCUUAACUAAACUUGAACUUCUUUCAGUGGUGCUGAGUUGCUGAUUGCUGUGGGAUGCAAUCCAUCCAAUUCUGCUAUUCUGCCAUAAGCCCAUUAGUAUGUCGGUAGUCUUAAUCAUGGUCUUCUGUACAGCCUCAUACCAUCCGAUGUGGAGCAUAUUGUACCAUAUCAGUACUAUUUCAAUAUGCGGUGUCACCCCAUACUGAUGCUACUGUACUGUAUCAAACUGCAUAUCGGUAUUAUGACAGAAUUUUACCGGUAUGGAUUCGAUACUGAGAUGGUGAAUCUUAGUCUUAAUAGUUCUCAUGAGCAUUAAAGGAUAGAAUUGGUAGCAAUGGUGGCAUAUUGCCAAUGUCAUGAAAGUAUUUGCAGAUUAGCUGUUAGAAUUGUGGUUGAGGGAUGUAUUUUCCAGUGUUAGGUCGAUCAAAGUUCUUAAUUAUGGAGGAAGGAUUUCUCUUGCUGAUGUUGCUACCUGGAUACUGAGAGCUUUCAAUUAAGUGUUGCAUUUGCAUAUUCACACUUUUCCCCGAAUAUGGGGGUCUACAUGUAAUACACUUCUCUAUGCGGAUGAAAUCAGAAAUUAGCAAUUGGAAGUUCAGGCAUUCCUGAGAUAAUAUCACAUGCUUGUAUUGUUGGUUGUAUUAGUAUAGCAUGAUAUAAUGGCUGUAAUUGUUCAGUGUCUGUUGAAAGUUGAUCCAUGAUGCUUGCUAAAGCUCCUGGAACCAGUUUGUAUCUAUUGUUAUCAUCUUUUAGGGUCAAUUUUUCUUUGUUUCUUUAGUAAACCCUUAUACGGAAACCCUCAUGUGGACAUCUUCUGAUAAAGAAUCUUGUUCAUACCAUUUAUAGCCAUUCUCUAUUCAGUGAGAAUCAGGCUAUACAAAUUAUCAUCA